AUGAGUUCCAGUGCUUUAACAAUAAAAAUUCUGUUUGGUGCUCUAAAAAUUCUAUUUGUUAGGUUUGGUAGGCAUAAGAUCUAUCUAAGAUCUAGGGCAAUGAGUCCCCAUCUUACUGGAACUUACUGGAUAUGUUUGUCUUGGUGAUAGUCCUUGAGAGGAAGAAUGGGCAUAAACUUCUCAAACUGAGUGCAUCAAAAUCACCUGGAGAGCCUGUGAAACGCAGGUUUCAGGGCUUCAUCCCCAGAGUUCCGAUUCAGUGGGCCUGACGAUUUGCGUUUCUAGGAAGUUCCAGGUGAUGCUGAUGCAAUUGGUUCCAGCACCACCCUUUAAGAAUCAGUGCUUUAAAGCAUGGAUGUGGACUUGGACCCUGAAGGCUGAAGGGAUGUCUGGACUCAAUAGCUUCUUGACGUCCCGGUCCUGUGAUGUGAACACUGGAGCUUCGACUAGUCCUCAUUUUCCCAAAGAGAAGAAAAGCAACUCAGCGAUAAGGAAGCCCGCACCCUUUUGAGGAGAGAACUUGCCAUCCGAUCUUUCACCUUCAAGUCUUUGAGUCAAUACCAUAAAAGUAUAAAGGAGCCGGGAGUAUCAGCCUUAAGAAGGGAGUGCUGGAAAGAAAGUAACAGGAGUCACCUGUCUGAGGGGAGAGAUUUACUCCAUUGGUUCCAAGGAAAUCGUGUCAUCCAGAGGAAGCUGCAAAAGGUGGAUUCACACCGGCGUGACUCAGUCCCCAAAGCGAUGUGCUCAAAAUAGCACUGGGUGAGGAAACCCUUGUUGGCCAGGGACGGAACCCCAGCACAAAGGAGCUCAUCAGGACGAGAAAGGGGGGAACGUAACAAUGCCUGAAGAAGCCAGGGGUAGAGUGACUUCAGUCACCGCUGGAUUACCCUGCCCCCCCCCCCCCACCUGCUCUUGCGGUGGAGAAGUGAGCCGCUGGUGUCCCAGUUAUAGCCAUAGCUCAGCAUUAGCCACCCCUUGGAUGAGAGCAGUGUCAUUCACAGUGGCUGUAGCACACCCCAGGGAUUGACUUUCACGGACCCCAACUCUGUGACCUGGGAGAAUGGCGCUGAUUCCUGAGAAGGAGUCACAGGCUGCCCCUAAAAUGGGGGUUGGGGAGUACAAGGCAGGAGCUCUGGGCCCAAACCUCGUAGCCUGAGAGUGAGGCGCCCUCCCCUCCAGAGACAAUCAGCCUGCCUAACUGAAGGGGGAACGGGUGACAGGUUACAAGAGCAGACGCUCUCUGUGUCUCCAAGCCAGGUCAGAAUAAAUGGCGCCCUUCACUUGUUUUCCCUGUCCCACACGGGGGCCAUGCAGAAGGCUUCACCAACGCUUCUUGAAGUUCCCUCUUAUCCUACCCACUUCCACCCUCUCACAUACCACAGCCUCCCUCAACACCGGGCUCCCCAUGUAAAGACUCCCCCUCCUCCUCUCCUGCCUUUCCACCUGAUUCUCUUACACAAAACCCGGAGAACCAGUCUGAUGGGUAGGACUGUGGAGGGCACAGGGCAAGUCUGUGUGUGUGAGGUGGGGGUGGGGGAGCUGAGAACACUGGCUACUUGAUUGCUUCAUCCUAUCACAGCAGGAAAAUGCGAAUUCUCCCAAGUUGGAAGGUCUCCCUUGCAAUACCCUGAGUUCCCAGUCCUGGAGGACAGGCUGUGCUCCCAGGACAUUGGGAACUGGAGGUUUACAAACCGCCUCUGUGCCCUGCUGCCACAUCCAAGCUUUCCACAAGCCCACUGCAAACGUCUUGAAGAGGACAUCUCUCUUCUCACCUGCUCUCAGAGGUAUUGCUAAGAAUUUAAAUCUAGCUGUAUCUGCAUUAUGGUCUGGCACAUCUGGGGCUAAUCUUCAAGAGCUGGAUUUGAUAAAGACAGUCCAGUAGCAAAUAAACGACCAACCGUGACAGAGGGGAAAAAAGAGAAAAAGCAAAAACCAAACAAAAACCGAUAACAAACAAGUGAAAAGACCCAGCCAGCCUCUUGAAAUGACUGGAAGUAAAAAUCAUUUGGAAGCAGCCGCCCAGAAGGAAAACUAAAGCCCUUUUGAUCUUAUCUUCCAUUUCUGAGAUAAACAAUGCAUUCAAUACAAGUGAUUCCAAAACCAAAGUUAUAAUUUUUGGAAGACAUCCCCCAGUGUUUAAUGAGGCACUGAUCUCC
ensembl:lncRNA